GAUGAACGCUGGCGGCGUGCCUAAUACAUGCAAGUCGAGCGAACGGACGAGAAGCUUGCGUGUCUGAUGUUAGCGGAGGACGUGUGAGUAACACGUGUAUAACCUACCUAUAAGACGGGGAUAACUUCGGGAAAGCGGAGAUAAUAGCGGAGAAGAUUUUGAAGCGCAGGGGGCGAAAGUGAGAGACGGUCUUGCGGGCACGUAUAGAGGGAUCCCGGCUGUAUGAGCUAGUUGGGAAGGUAACAGCUUACGAAGGCAACGAUGCAUAGCCGACCUGAGAGGCGGAUCGGCCACACUGGAACUGAGACACGCUCCAUGCGCCUACGGGACGCCGCAGUCUGGUACCUUCCGCAACGGUCGAAAGCCUUACGGAGUAAGCGCGCGCGUGUGACGACGGUCUUGCGAUCGUGAUAAUCUCUUACUAGGGAUAAACCUCUUUGUACGUUAACGAGGCGUGAGUGACGGUACCUAAUAAGAAAGCACCGGCUAACUACGUG
rnacentral:rRNA from 1 species